UCAGUGGCUGUUCUCUCAUUGCUGACAGGUGCUCAGACGCUGAUUGAAAUAAAUAAAAUAAAGUCUGCGAGGCUGGGGAACAUGUCGCAGUUCCCUCGACUGAUGCGGCCAUGCCAUAGGUCAAGUUUGUGUGAAGGCGUCCACUCUGUCUGCAAGGAGCAAAAUCAGAGUUUAUAUGAGGAGUGGUGUGUGUCUUCUCUCUGCUCUGACUGCAGGCUGGGACUGGUGCGCGAGGCUACUGAGGGACUGACCGCCUCCUACUCGCGCCCCACCGGUUGAGAACCACUGCUCUAGACUACUCAAACUACUGUACAAAAAGCCCAGCAGUGCUGCAUGUCAGGGUGCGACUAGACACUGAAAACAGCAGCAGAAUGCAAACUGAAACAACAACAGAAACAACAACAUGCUGCAUGGCUCACGUUGAACUUGCCCCAGAGGUCCCCGACGGGUGGAUGACUUCAGCUGCAAAGUCACAUUGACUCAGUG